rnacentral:misc_RNA from 1 species
GUACGCAUCCGAAUCGGAAUCCGCAAUCAGCUUCAGCUGCGAACGUAAAGUGAAGUGGCUGGCAUUCCGGCUGCCUUCAGUGGCCUCAGUUGUUGUGCCGCCGUGAAGGAGGACGGUAGCCGUGCGCGCAUACGGAGCACAUUGGUGCCGCUGGCAUUUAGUUAGAUCCAAGUGAUAGUUUUCCCCAGAUCUGCCCGACUUCCCAGACUCACCCGUUUACUCAAAUUCAAUAGUUUCGAAAAAUCGCUUUCGAGUGCUCUUUUUUUUUGUCUGUGCUUUCUGCUUCUCUCGCCGCCUGCUGAGAGAUCUGAGCGAUCUGAGUGCUGCGUCCAUGGCUGGCGUUUGGAAUUGUGAAGGUCAGCGCGUCGUCGCGAUCGGAAUCGGAAUUGGAAUCGCAUUCGGACUCCCAUUUCAGUGUGUGUCGUAAUCCGGCCAAGAGAUCGUGUUUGGCAGCCGUUAAGAAAAAGAUACGAAAUCUGUUUGCCCAAGACUUGGUGAUACGGGAUAUCUACGCAACCGGUCAGUCAUGCACUGCCCAUGCCUCCACUAGCUGCAGUGCAGCAGCGCCGGAAUGUUGGCCGCUGGCGCCAGUGAGACCACUGACUUUGGGCCACACUCGCGACAGCAAUCGGCGGGCACGUCCACGUCCAAGCGAACCCACAAAGCCAGCAGCCACCGUCCUGGUCCAGGUCCUGCUCCUUGUCCUGGUCCUGGUCCUGGCCCAAUGACCACUGGUGGCAACAGCGCAGCCAGCGGUAACGGAAACAGCAGCAGUGGCGCUCUAAGCGCCCUUCCCUCGACGAAGGCAGGCGUUAUGUCCGCCACCACGGUGACAGCGACGACGGGGAAGGCGACGGUCAGUCAUGGACAUGGUCAUGGGCAUGGUCAUGGUCACGGCCACACGAGAGGCGGCCGAAGUGCGGCAGCUGGACGCUCCAACGUGGACGGAUUCGUUGGCGGCAUCGAGACGUAUUUGGGCCUCAUCGGUUGGCGGAAAAAGUGCCUGUAUACGCUGCUGCUGCUUCUGAUGCUGCUCAUCAUCACUAACCUGGUGCUCACCCUCUGGAUACUCAAGGUGAUGGAGUUCUCAACGGAGGGCAUGGGGCAGCUGAAAAUCGUACCCGGUGGCAUACAGCUGUCCGGACAAGCGAUAAUUAUGGACAUGCUGCGCGCAUCCACAAUACGUUCGCGGCACGGCCAACCCAUCUCCAUAGAGUCAUCACGUAACUUUUCAAUCAAUACACGUGAUCCGAAUGGCAUGAUUGAGAAUCAUUUAUUCCUGGGACACGACAAGUUCGAGUGCCUGUCGUCGGGAUUCCGCAUAAACGACACCAACGGACGCAGCCUGUUCUCCGUGAACCGCGAUGAAGUCACCAUCGGAGCACAUGCCCUGCGGAUCGACGGCGAAGGUGGCGCCGUCUUCCGGGAGUCCGUGCAGACGCCCCACGUGCGCGCCGAGCCCGGCCGGGAGCUGAGACUCGAAUCGCCAACACGCCAAUUGGAGAUGACGGCGGCCAAGGACAUCAAUUUGCAGUCACGCGCAGGAGGCAUAGAAGUCGUGGCCCUGGAAGACGUCAAGUUCCGAGCCCUCGAUGGGAGCCUGCGCCUGGAGUCCUCCAAGAUACUCAUGCCCAACCUGCGGACGGCACAGCCGCCCAUUCUGGGCACUGCCCAAAGCAGGGAUCACAUGCAUCGCGUCUUCCAGCUCUGCGCCUGCUCCAAUGGAAAGCUCUUCCUGGCGGCACCCCACUCCAUAUGUGCCGGCGAUGAUUCCACUGUCUGCAGAUGAUUGCACGACUCGGCGCGCUGGCAGUCCACACCCACAUCCGCAUCCGCAUCGUCCACAUCCAAUAGAUCCCGGUUAAGGUCCAGCUCCGAAACGGACACGGAUGCGGAUACGGACACUGAUUAGGGAGCUGGGUCUCCGGAGUUUUGACAGACCGGUAUGCAAGUAUGCAAGUAUGCAAGUAUGCGAUUCAUGGCGGAACGCGGAGCAGAUCACAGCCAUAGCCACACCCAUACGCACACGUUCAUGUUGACUUACUCAUAUGCUAACUGGAAGAUAGGAUGGUGUAUACCCAACUAGUGCAAAUCACGUACACCCAUACACACAUACAUACGAGUAUAUGAUUACCCCACACACUGUCGAGGGAAUUGUACCCAAACUCGAAGGACAAAAUCAAGAGCUUCUUAGACACUUGGAUGUUGUGUACCAGUAUAACCGCAAUUCGGCAAUUCGGCUAUACAUAUAGGCAUAGUACCAUUAGACCUAUAAAAUAUCACCAGUAAUGGAGUAAUUAAAUAGACAGAUAUGAUGUCAUAGUCAAGCGUAGGAUGCCGUCACAGUCGAAUCCCACAUCAGUAUUGGCGUUAAGUCUAAACCCCUCAGAUUGAAUCAGAUUGAAUGAAACUCGGUUAAAGUUUAGUUUUAGCAGAAAUCACACCACACACACACACAGCUCGCCUUAAAAACAAAGAAUGUAUUUCUACUAGUUUUCGAUUAUGAAUAUACGCUAAUGUUUACCAUGAACUCAAACGAUUAUUCUUUAUAAGUAACUGAGUAUCAUCUGAUCCGUUUCCACAAAGCAGUCCAGAGAUAUUGUACAUAAGACUGUCGAACUCAAAGAACUGCAAAACUGCAGCAUAGCAGCAUCCAUCACGAAUACAGAUACAAAUACAAACUGAAUAGGACCUACUCAUAACCGUAUUCAUGUAGAUAUUCUCGCGGACACUAAUGAAAUUUAGAAAAUGUUUAUACGAUAACUACAUACUACGAUCAGAAUAUCCAAAACCCGAAGCAAACACAAUACGAAGACAAUGAAUAAAUAUCAUCCAAUAAGUCGCAAGAGCUAUUUAUACCUAUACCUAAAUAUACCUAUACCUAGAUACAGAUACAGAUAUUAACUGAGAUUCGAGUAUGAGUAUGAGUAUCAAUAUGAAUACAGAAAUAAAUAUGGGUAACUGAGUUUCGAUAUGGCUAUGGAUAUAAAUAUGAAUAUAAAUAUGAAUAUAAAUAUGAUAAAUAUGAUUAUAAAUAUGAAUAUAAAUAGAGUUGAAUAUGAAAUUGCCGUUGAAUUUGUCAAGUGCGGGAGCACUGAUAUAUAGAUAUAUAUAAAUAAAUGAAUGUAUAUGUAUAUGUAUCAGUAUGUAUGUACACCCAAUGCAAAUGCUUUUAAAUGGACAUUAAGUAUAAUUUGUUGUUGGUUUUUUUUUUAGCACGAUUAGGAAACAUAAAAACGUAAUAUAGGGAAAAUACAGAAUCAUAUAUCUACAUACUACAUAUAUUGUAAUACAGCAAAUACAGCAUACUUACAACAAAUACAUGCGUCAAGAA